CGGGAUCGUCGCCCAGGUCCCGUGAUUUCAGGAUUCCCGCAGGGUGGAGCCAGGCUGAGGAAAGCUGCAGGGGAGCUUCAGGGAUGCCCAGGGCGAUCCCCAAGGAUCCCCAGGAUACUUCAGGCCUGCUCAGACGCUGUGGGAAAUGCGUCUCCUUGAACGCUGUCCCUGCUGGGAAUUCCAGCUCUUGGAUGGCAGGAAAGAGUUCCUAGAGAGAGAAGACAAAGAGCGUUUGUGCUGCAAAAGAAACCCCAGGCUGAAGACUGGAGAUCUGAAUGUGCAAACUGCAAGGGAACUGGAGACAAUGAAACUCCUGUCAGGUCAAGUUGACAAGGGGUCUCAGUGUAGAGGCCAUCAAAGUAAUUUUGGUCAAAACACUUGGUGGCAAGAUGAUGAAGUUUUCUGUUGAAACAAUAAAGUGACUAAAUCCGUUAGCAUGUUGUGCCUGGCGUUCAUCGGUGUCCUCAGCAACAUGCCUGGAUAUCCGUCUCAGGAUUUGGCUUCACCCCAGAAAGCUUCUGAGAAGCUGUCUUCACCCAAUCUGCCCCCAGGGGAGGCCAGAUGUAGUUGUUGCCUCCUCUACUGCAG
rnacentral:lncRNA from 1 species